rnacentral:rRNA from 1 species
GACGAACCGCCCGAACGUUGUUCGGAAUCACUGGGCUUAAAGGGAGCGUAGGCGGGCUGCCAAGUCCGGGGUGAAAUCCUCCAGCUUAACUGGAGAACUGCCUCGGAUACUGGAAGUCUCGAGGAGGGUAGGGGCAAGUGGAACCGUGGGUGGAGCGGUGGAAAUGACGUUGAUAUCGGAAGGAAACACCGGUGGCGAAAGCGGCAUCCUGGACCGAUACUGACGCUGAGGAGCGAAAGCCAGGGGAGCAAAGCGGGG